rnacentral:rRNA from 1 species
UACGUAGGUGACAAGCGUUGUCCGGAUUUACUGGGCGUAAAGAGCGCGCAGGCGGUCGAUCAAGUCGAGUGUGAAAGCCCCCGGCUCAACUGGGGAGGGUCAUUCGAUACUGAUCGACUCGAAGGCAGGAGAGGGUAGUGGAAUUCCCGGUGUAGUGGUGAAAUGCGUAGAGAUCGGGAGGAACACCUGUGGCGAAGGCGGCCCCCUGGGCCGGCCCUGACACUGAGACGCGAAGGCGUGGGGAGCGAACGGG